GAUGAACGCUGGCGGCGUGCUUAAUACAUGCAAGUCGAACGGAAAGGCCCUGCUUUUGUGGGGUGCUCGAGUGGCGAACGGGUGAGUAACACGCGUGUAACCUGUCCCUGACUUUGGGGUAACUUCAGGAAACUGGGGCUAUUACCGGAUAGGAUCUCCUGCUGCGUGUGGGUGGAUGGAAAGUUACGGUGGUAGGGGAAUGGCUCGCGGGUUCUCAGCUUGUUGGGGAGGUUGGGGCGUACCAAGCUUUUGAAGGAUAGCCGGCCUGGGAGGGUGACCGGCCACCAUGGGACUGAGGUAGGGCCCAGACUCCUACGGGCGGCAACAGGGGAGAGUAUUGCGCAGCGACCGGAAGCCUGAUGCGACGGCCCCGCGUGCGGAAUGACGGCCUUCGAGUUGUAAACCGCUUUCGCAUGUGACGAAGCCUGAGUGACGGUAAUGAAUAAGAAAGCACCGGCUAACUACGUG
rnacentral:rRNA from 1 species